ACAAUAAAUCACAAUGCGGGACUAUUCGUCUUGCAAUUGGAUUGAGAACAAUGUACAACUCUUAUCGAUAAGCCAUUGGAGGGCAAGUCUGGUGCCAGCAGCCGCGGUAAUUCCAGCUCCAAUAGCGUAUAUUAACGUUGUUGCAGUUAAAAAGCUCGUAGUUGAAGUGUGGGUGGUGCCAUCUGUGGAGCUUCGGCUUUUCAGAUGAUCACUACCCCCUUCCAGUAUCCAGUAGUGGGUAUUCAGUUACUUGCUAUUGUGUGUUGGUCAUUUACUGUGAGAAAAUUAGAGUGUUCAAAGCAGGCGUUUGCUUGAAUAGAUUAGCAUGGAAUAAUAAUUGAAGGCUUUCGUGUUCGAUUUGAUUGGUUUGUUCAUGGAAGCAAGGUUAAAAGGAACAGUUGGGGGUAUUCAUAUUCACUAGUUAGAGGUGAAAUUCUCGGAUUUAUGGAAGAUGAACAA
rnacentral:rRNA from 1 species